CCUACGGGAGGCAGCAGUAGGGAAUAUUGCUCAAUGGGGGAAACCCUGAAGCAGUAACGCCGCGUGGAGGAUGAAGGUUUUCGGAUUGUUAACUCCUUUUGUUAGAGAAGAUAAUGACGGUAUCUAACGAAUAAGCACCGGCUAACUCCGUGCCAGCAGCCGCGGUAAUACGGAGGGUGCAAGCGUUACUCGGAAUCACUGGGCGUAAAGAGCGCGUAGGCGGGAUAGCAAGUCAGAUGUGAAAUCCUAUGGCUUAACCAUAGAACUGCAUUUGAAACUGUUAUUCUAGAGUAUGGGAGAGGUAGGUGGAAUUCGUGGUGUAGGGGUAAAAUCCGUAGAGAUCAAGAGGAAUACUCAUUGCGAAGGCGACCUGCUAGAACAUAACUGACGCUGAUGCGCGAAAGCGUGGGGAGCAAACAGGAUUAGAUACCCCAGUAGUC
rnacentral:rRNA from 1 species